rnacentral:rRNA from 1 species
AUGCAGGUGGUUUGUUAAGUCAGAUGUGAAAGCCCCGGGGCUCAACCUCGGAAUUGCAUUUGAAACUGGCAAACUAGAGUACUGUAGAGGGGGUAGAAUUUCAGGUGUAGCGGUGAAAUGCGUAGAGAUCUGAAGGAAUACCGGUGGCGAAGGCGGCCCCCUGGACAGAUACUGACACUCAGAUCGCGAAAGCGUGGGGAGCAAACCAGGAUUAGAUACCCUCGGUAG